rnacentral:rRNA from 1 species
GAUGAACGCUGGCGGCGUGCCUAAUACAUGCAGGUCGAGCGAACAGACGAGGAGCUUGCUCCUCUGACGUUAGCGGCGGACGGGUGAGUAACACGUGGAUAACCUACCUAUAAGACUGGGAUAACUUCGGGAAACCGGAGCUAAUACCGGAUAAUAUAUUGAACCGCAUGGUUCAAUAGUGAAAGACGGUUUUGCUGUCACUUAUAGAUGGAUCCGCGCCGCAUUAGCUAGUUGGUAAGGUAACGGCUUACCAAGGCAACGAUGCGUAGCCGACCUGAGAGGGUGAUCGGCCACACUGGAACUGAGACACGGUCCAGACUCCUACGGGAGGCAGCAGUAGGGAAUCUUCCGCAAUGGGCGAAAGCCUGACGGAGCAACGCCGCGUGAGUGAUGAAGGUCCUCGGAUCGUAAAACUCUGUUAUUAGGGAAGAACAAAUGUGUAAGUAACUAUGCACGUCUUGACGGUACCUAAUCAGAAAGCCACGGCUAACUACGUG